rnacentral:rRNA from 1 species
AUGAAUUAAGUAUUAGUAUAUAUCAUUUACAAUGAUAAGGACUAUAAAAUAGAAUUCAUUUAUUAGCACUGCAAAAAAAUUUAUUUUAAUAUACCUUUUGCAUAAUGGUUUAAUAAAAUAAAUAAAUUUAUUUUACCCGAAAUUAGAAGAUCUAAUUUUUUAGAAAAACUUUAAUAAUGUUUCAAAAUUAUAAUUUAAUAAAAAUUAGGAGUGAAAGAUUUAUCAAUUCUAAAGAUAUCUGGAAUAAUUUUAAAUGUAUUUAGUACAGAAUAAUGUUUGAAUAAUAAAAUGUUAAUUUUGUUAUAAAGUAUUAUAAAAUAUAUUUUUAUGAAUUAAUCUUCAGUUAAAUUUAAAAUAAUUUUUUUUUUAUUUUAUCUUUAUAUUAAAUUUAUACUUAAGCUUAUUUUUAAGUUAAUUAUGUUAAAAUUAGUAUAAAUUGUAAAAUUUAUUUAAGGAACUCGGCCUUCAUCUGUUUAUCAAAAACAUAGUCUUAUGAAAGUAUAAGGUAAAACCUGCCCACUGAUUUUUAAUGGCCGCAGUACUUUGACUGUGCUAAGGUAGCAUAAUAAAUUGACUCUUAAUUAGGGCCUUGAAUGAAAGGAAUAAUGGAUAAUUUCUGUCUUAAGUGAAUAAAUUUAAAAUUACUUAAAAGGUGAAAAUUCCUUUAAAUUUAUAUAAUAGACGAGAAGACCCUAGGAGUUAUUUUGUUGGGGCGACAGUAUAGCAUAACCUAUCUCAUUUAAAAAACGAAGCAUUAUAAUAAUAAGUUAACUACCCUAGGGAUAACAGCAUAAUUUAAAAUUAAGUUUGUGACCUCGAUGUUGGACUAGGAACUUUUAAAGCUAACAGCGUUAA